CAUAUCAAUAAGCGGAGGAAAAGAAACUAACAAGGAUUCCCCUAGUAACUGCGAGUGAAGCGGGAAAAGCUCAAAUUUAAAAUCUGGCGGUCUUUGGCUGUCCGAGUUGUAAUCUAGAGAAGUGUUAUCCGCGCUGGACCGUGUACAAGUCUCCUGGAAUGGAGCGUCAUAGAGGGUGAGAAUCCCGUCUUUGACACGGACUGCCAGGGCUUUGUGAUGCGCUCUCAAAGAGUCGAGUUGUUUGGGAAUGCAGCUCAAAAUGGGUGGUAAAUUCCAUCUAAAGCUAAAUAUUGGCGAGAGACCGAUAGCGAACAAGUACCGUGAGGGAAAGAUGAAAAGAACUUUGGAAAGAGAGUUAAACAGUACGUGAAAUUGCUGAAAGGGAAACGCUUGAAGUCAGUCGCGUUGUCCAGGGAUCAACCUUGCUUUUGCUUGGUGUACUUUCUGGUUGACGGGUCAGCAUCAAUUUUGACUAUUGGAAAAAGGUCAGGGGAAUGUGGCAUCUUCGGAUGUGUUAUAGCCCUUGGUUGCAUACAAUGGUUGGGAUUGAGGAACUCAGCACGCCGCAAGGCCGGGUUUUUAACCACGUACGUGCUUAGGAUGCUGGCAUAAUGGCUUUAAUCGACCCGUCUUGAAACACGGACCAAGGAGUCUAACAUGCCUGCGAGUGUUUGGGUGGAAAACCCGAGCGCGUAAUGAAAGUGAAAGUUGAGAUCCCUGUCGUGGGGAGCAUCGACGCCCAGACCAGACCUUUUGUGACGGUUCUGCGGUAGAGCAUGUAUGUUGGGACCCGAAAGAUGGUGAACUAUGCCUGAAUAGGGUGAAGCCAGAGGAAACUCUGGUGGAGGCUCGUAGCGAUUCUGACGUGCAAAUCGAUCGUCAAAUUUGGGUAUAGGGGCGAAAGACUAAUCGAACCAUCUAGUAGCUGG
rnacentral:rRNA from 1 species